rnacentral:rRNA from 1 species
UGGGGAAUAUUGGACAAUGGGCGCAAGCCCUGAUCCAGCCAUGCCGCGUGAGUGAUGAAGGCCCUAGGGUUGUAAAGCUCUUUCACCGGUGAAGAUAAUGACGGUAACCGGAGAAGAAGCCCCGGCUAACUUCGUGCCAGCAGCCGCGGUAAUACGAAGGGGGCUAGCGUUGUUCGGAAUUACUGGGCGUAAAGCGCACGUAGGCGGACAUUUAAGUCAGGGGUGAAAUCCCGGGGGCUCAACCCCGGAACUGCCUUUGAUACUGGGUGUCUAGAGUUCGAGAGAGGUGAGUGGAAUUCCGAGUGUAGAGGUGAAAUUCGUAGAUAUUCGGAGGAACACCAGUGGCGAAGGCGGCUCACUGGCUCGAUACUGACGCUGAGGUGCGAAAGCGUGGGGAGCAAAACAGGAUUAGAUACCCUGGUAGUCCACGCCGUAAAACGAUGGAAGCCAGCUGUCGGCAAGUUUACUUGUCGGUGGCGCAGCUAACGCAUUAAGCUUCCCGCCUGGGGAGUACGGUCGCAAGAUUAAAACUCAAAUGAAUUGACGGGGUCAUAGCUGUUUCCUG